GACGGAGGAUGCAAGUGUUAUCCGGAAUCACUGGGCGUAAAGCGUCUGUAGGUGGUUCAAUAAGUCAACUGUUAAAUCUUGAGGCUCAACUUCAAAAUCGCAGUCGAAACUAUUGGACUCGAGUAUAGUAGGGGUAAAGGGAAUUUCCAGUGGAGCGGUGAAAUGCGUAGAGAUUGGAAAGAACACCAAUGGCGAAAGCACUUUACUGGCUAUUACUGACACUAAGAGACGAAAGCUAGGGGAGCAAAUGGG
rnacentral:rRNA from 1 species